AUGCAGGCUACCGACGCUGGUUGUGGUGAGGGGGAGCAGACGUGUGCAACGCGCGAGAACAGAGAUGAAGGUUUGGAGAGGGAAAAUCAAGAGAAUGAGAGAUUGGGAGAGGGAUCUCGCCGCCUCCAGCUAGAACUCGCCGAUGAGCGGUCCUUCGCCUCGAGCACCUUCAUCCCAUCUCUUCAUUUUCCGACCUUCCUUGUCUCCGCCUCGAGCUCGAGCUCCAAUCUGCCGCCACCAGAUCAGACCCCGUCAACCCCCUCCUCCCUUGCCAGCCCCUCGAGCUCACCCUCUCCUUCUCCGCCACCUGGGUCAGUGACCCAGGAGGGGAAGGCUCAGCGAGAGCACGGGGAUGGCUCGGUCAGGGUGGUGGUGGCAGCGAGAGAAAGGACGACGACGACGCAGCAAGCAUCACGUGCUUCAGUUGUGCCAAGGACGAUGGUGACGGCGCCGGACGUCUUGUGCAGUCGUCUCCUUGAGAUGGAGGAGGUGGAGCUCGAGCUGGCCGCGUUGUGGAGGGAGAGGCGGCGUAGCAGCUAG
rnacentral:rRNA from 1 species